ensembl:lncRNA
UAGUCUAGUCACUAGGGUGCAUAGUCUAGUGCUUCACUGGAUAAACACUGGUACCGUUCAGUGUCCAAACAAGGUACAUUGGACAAGGCCUUGUUAUUGCGUAAUAUACAGUAACAUGUUACAAAGAACCUUGAAUAUCUCCAGCUAUACAUAUCGAAUCUAUUGAAACAAUACACAGGUAUUCAUGUUUGAUAUAGAAUACAAAUUAAUCCAUUAAAAUAAUGAGGGCUGGAAUUAAAAGGAGGAAUAAAUCAGUCUGAAGUGAAAUUCUGAAACCAACAUUUAUUUUUUUUCAUUUUAAAAUACAAAAUAUUUAGCAAUAUUAUAUGAUAGAGUAAACCAUUUGACAGCCUUUCAUGCUCUUUGUGUCGCUUCAACAUUUACCAGAAUGUUCUUCUAUCCUUUCAUAUAUUAUUUCCUGCAGUCACCAGGGUUUCACACUGCGUCCUGCUAUCAUUUAGUCUAUAUGUGAGUCUCAAUGGAUGAGCAUGUUGUUUGUUUAAUUGAAUUAUUUUCUCCUCCUCCUCCCCUCCUCCUCCUCCUCUCCUCCUCCUCCUCUCCUCCUUACCCCAUAAAGCCUUGAGCUAGCAAAUGUAGUAACCUGACAAAUUUGAAAAACAAAGUUGCACAGCAAAUGAAAGAGUGAAAACUGUAAAAGGUCUCUCUUGCCCCCAUCUUGCAAUGCACCCAACACACCUUCAAACCCCCAGGUCAAGCUCCCGUCUGGCGUCUCUAUACCCCCUCGAACCAAAACAUCUACAGUCAGGUCAAGCUCCCGCCUGGCGUCUCUAUACCCCCUCGAACCAAAACAUCUACAGUCAGGUCAAGCUCCCGUCUGGCGUCUCUAUACCCCCUCAAACCAAAACAUCUACAGUCAGGUCAAGCUCCCGCCUGGCGUCUCUAUACCCCCUCGAACCAAAACAUCUAGUCAGGUCAAGCUCUCGUCUGGCGUCUCUAUACCCCCUCGAACCAAAACAUCUACAGUCAGGUCAAGCUCUCGUCUGGCGUCUCUAUACCCCCUCGAACCAAAACAUCUAGUCAGGUCAAGCUCCCGUCUGGCGUCUCUAUACCCCCUCGAACCAAAACAUCUAGUCAGGUCAAGCUCUCGUCUGGUGUCUCUAUACCCCCUCGAACCAAAACAUCUAGUCAGGUCAAGCUCUCGUCUGGCGUCUCUAUACCCCCUCGAACCAAAACAUCUAGUCAGGUCAAGCUCUCGUCUGGCGUCUCUAUACCCCCUCGAACCAAAACAUCUAGUCAGGUCAAGCUCUCGUCUGGUGUCAAUGAAAACAUCUACAAGCUCUAUUUACAUAUUACAACAAAAUAUCUACACACAUUUGGAAACUAAAAACUUGAUGCAAGUUGUGAAAAUGUAGAUCAUGUAAAUCUGGAAUUUUCUCUUGAAAUUCUCCCUUCGUCUUCCAGGUGACAUUUGGAGUUGAUUUGUUUCUGCCAAGAUGGCUGGACCGCUUCACACAACAGACUGUCAUCACCUAGAAGAGGAGCUAUAGAAUACGUCACACACACACACACACACACACACACACGCACACACACACACACACACACACACACGCACACACACACAGAUGCACACAGCACACACACACAGAUGCACACACGCACACACACACACGCACACAGACACACACACACACACACACAUGCACACACACACACACACACACACACACAGAUGCACACACACACACAGACACACACACACAGACGCACACAGACACACACGCAC